CCUACGGGAGGCAGCAUUGAGGAAUAUUGCGCAAUGGCCGAAAGGCUGACGCAGCGACGCCGCGUGAAGGAUGAAGUCCGUUAGGAUGUAAACUUCUUUUGUGAGGGAAGAAUUUUCCCGUUUGGACCGGGAUUGACCGUACCUCACGAAUAAGCCUCGGCUAACUACGUGCCAACAACCGCGGUAAU
rnacentral:rRNA from 1 species